AAUACCAAGGCGCUUGAGAGAACGAUGUUGAAGGAACUCGGCAAAAUACCUCCGUAAGUUCGCGAGAAGGAGGCCCGGUUUCUAGGCAACUGGAAGCUGGGGGCACAAACCAGGGGGUGGCGACUGUUUACUAAAAACACAGGGCUCUGCGAAGUCGCAAGACGACGUAUAGGGUCUGACGCCUGCCCGGUGCCUGAAGGUUAAAAGGAGGGGUGCAAGCUCCGAAUUGAAGCCCAGGUAAACGGCGGCCGUAACAAUAACGGUCCUAAGG
rnacentral:rRNA from 1 species